UACGUAGGGACCAAGCGUUGUCCGGAAUCAUUGGGCGUAAAGCGCGCGUAGGCGGCCCGGUAAGUCCGUUGUAAAAGUCGAAGGCUCAACCUUCGAAAGCCGAUGGAUACUGCCGGGCUAGAGUACGGAAGAGGCGAGUAGAAUUCCUGGUGUAGCGGUGGAAUGCGCAGAUAUCAGGAAGAACACCGAUGGCGAAGGCAGCUCUCUGGGACGGUACUGACGCUGAGACGCGAAAGCGUGGGGAGCGAACAGG
rnacentral:rRNA from 1 species